UACGUAGGGGGCUAGCGUUGUCCGGAAUCAUUGGGCGUAAAGCGCGUGUAGGCGGUCCGGUAAGUCCGCUGUGAAAGUCGGGGGCUCAACCCUCGGAUGCCGGUGGAUACUGUCGGGCUUGAGUACGGAAGAGGCGAGUGGAAUUCCUGGUGUAGCGGUGAAAUGCGCAGAUAUCAGGAGGAACACCUAUUGCGAAGGCAGCUCGCUGGGACGGUACUGACGCUGAGGCGCGAAAGCGUGGGGAGCGAACAGG
rnacentral:rRNA from 1 species